UGCCGGCCUCUGCGUCCCUGAGACCCUUUAACCUGUGAGGACGUCCAGGGUCACAGGUGAGGUUCUUGGGAGCCUGGCGUCCGGCC
rnacentral:pre_miRNA from 9 species